GGGCGGUUAGCUCAGUGGCAGAGCACCUGCCUUACAAGCAGGGGGUCACUGGUUCGAGUCCGGUACCGCCCACCA
rnacentral:tRNA from 3 species